GUAACCACAUGCUUAAGCUACAGAAACUGUUAAUUCAAUGACACAACACAACUGCAAGUGGUCAAAGAUUCACGGCACAUCCCUAAUUUAAACAAGAUUGAGUAACUCUACAGGGAAGCACCUAGAAAAACACAAGGAAAAGCCAUAAGGUAAUAGGGUUCAACACGUUUUGAAUGCCUCUUUUAAACAAAUACAUCCCUCCUUUUCUCAUCCCAAACAAAGGAAGAAAAUAAAAAAGUCGGUGUGAUGUGUAACUAAGUUGAAAUUGAAAAGUUUAAUGAUAAAAUUAUAGAUUCUAAACCAUUUAGGAUUUACAAUUCAUGAAAAAAAAAAUCCCCAGCGCCCUCUCUUUCUCUUCCUCCCUCCAAACAAGCACUUUCAUAUACAUUUCACAUCUGAUUCACAUUCAACCAACAUUAGAAAUCCUCCCUUCACAUAAUUUGCCUACUUUUCAUGUAGUUACCAUUUAGAGUAGUCAGUGCCAGCACAGUGCAUCUAACAGCCCCCAAAUCUUAAAUAUCCGAUGUUUUUGUAAUUCCAAAAUUUACCUCCUGCUACCUAUGGAGGCACACACAUAUUGCUAAAGCCUGCUCUGGCCUUCAAAAAAUCUAUCUAAAAGUACCUCUUCCACCUUUUCUCAUCAUGAAACUCUAAUAAUCUAAUGUUCCUUCAAGAAUGUGGGCAUGAAUUCUAAAGUAGUGCUUAGUAGCAUCAUCACUAAGUACAAAAAUGCAAUUAAGUUCACCUCAAAAAGGAAUUAAAAAAGAAAAAAUAACAAGCAAAGGCAGGACUCUCUUCAUCUUCUUCUUCUUCUUCU
rnacentral:misc_RNA from 1 species